AACGGCCGUACCAUGCUGAAUAUACCGGUUCUCGUUAGAUCACCGAAGUCAAGCAUCGUUGGGCGCGGUCAGUACUUAGAUGGGUUACCACCUGGGAACACCGCGUGCCGUU
rnacentral:rRNA from 1 species